GGGGUUAUUAUGGGAUGGGGGGGUUAUUGCGGGGGUAUUGUGGGAUGGGUGGGGUUAUUAUGGGAUGGAUGGGGUUAUUGUGGGGUUAUUAUGGGAUGGGGGGGUUAUUGCGGGGGUAUUGUGGGAUGGGUGGGGUUAUUGUGGGGGUAUUAUGGGAUGUGUGGGGUUAUUAUGGGAUGGAUGGGGUUAUUGUGGGGUUAUUAUGGGAUGGGGGGGUUAUUGCGGGGGUAUUAUGGGAUGUGAGGGGUUAUUAUGGGGUUAUUAUGGGAUGGGUGGGGUUAUUGUGGGGGUAUUGUGGGAUGGGGGGUUAUUAUGGGAUGUGUGAGGGGUUAUUGUGGGAUGGGGGGGGUUAUUGUGGGGUAUUAUGGGAUGGGGGGGGUUAUUGUGAGGGUAUUAUGGGAUGGGGUUAUUGCGGGGGUAUUAUGGGAUGGGGGGGGUUAUUAUGGGAUUGGGGGGUUAUUAUGGGAUGGGUGGGGUUAUUGGAUAAGGUAUUAUGGGAUGGGGGGGUUAUUGUGGGGUAUUAUGGGAUGGGGGGGUUAUUGUGGGGGUUAUUAUGGGAUGGGGGGGGUUAUUAUGGGGUUAUUAUGGGAUGGGGGGGUUUUUGGGGGGGUUAUUAUGGGAUGGGGGAGGUUAUUAUGGGAUGUGAGGCGUUAUUGUGGGGUUAUUAUGGGGGUAUUAUGGGAUGGGGGGGUCAUUGUGGGGUUAUUAUGGGAUGUGAGGGGUUAUUAUGGGGUUAUUAUGGGAUGUGAGGGGUUAUUAUGGGGUUAUUGUGGGAUGGGUGGGGUUAUUAUGGGAUGGGGGGGUUAUUAUGGGGUUAUUAUGGGAUGGGGGGGUUAUUGUGGGGGUAUUAUGGGAUGGCUUCCGGCGCAGCUCCUGCGGGACGGAACCGUUACCGUUAGCGGGACCGGAACCGGAAGUGAAGCCUCGACUCCCCCUCACCCCCCACUCCCGGUUUCCCGCCGCGCACCGUUUUCGGGCGGUUGAUUUUCCCCCCGAUCCCCAUGGCGCACGUGCCACUUCCGGCCGGGCCCACUUCCGGCUCCCCCCGACUUCCGGCCACUCCCCUUUCCGCUCUGCGCCACGAGGCUCUUCCCCUCACUUCCGCUCCUCACCCCCUUCAUCCCUCCUUUCCUCUCUCCCCAUUGGUUACCCGUCGCCACCGCCGCGCGUGAUUGGCUCCCUUCCGGACACCGCCGCUUCUGAUUGGCCGAGCGGGGCACAAAAGGCGCCGCGUGGAAGCGGGGCGGCCAUUUUGCGGCGGAGCGGCGAAGGGAGCGGAGGGUCUGCCAAUGGACGGCAACGAAGACGAGAGGUGUGGGGCUGCCCCAUAGCGACAUGUGGGGCUGCCCCAUAGGGUGCUCUGCCCCAUAGCGACGUGUGGGGCUGCCCCAUAGAGCACUGUGCCCCAUAGCGACGUGUGGGGCUGCCCCAUAGUGUGCUCUGCCCCAUAGCGACGUGUGGGGCUGCCCCAUAGCGUGCUCUGCCCCAUAGCGAUGUGUGGGGCUGCCCCAUAGAGCACUGUGCCCCACAGCGCCCCACAACAUUCAAUGGAUCCCCAAAUAAAGGCGUUUCUCCCCCUCAAAAGUGUGGUUAUGGGGUUACGGGAUGUGGG
ensembl:lncRNA